rnacentral:rRNA from 1 species
GACGGAGGAUGCAAGCGUUAUCCGGAAUGAUUGGGCGUAAAGCGUCCGCAGGUGGCAGUUCAAGUCUGCUGUCAAAGACCGGGGCUUAACUUCGGAAAGGCAGUGGAAACUGAACAGCUAGAGUAUGGUAGGGGCAGAGGGAAUUCCUGGUGUAGCGGUGAAAUGCGUAGAGAUCAGGAAGAACAUCGGUGGCGAACGCGCUCUGCUGGACCAUAACUGACACUCAGGGACGAAAGCUAGGGGAGCGAAUGGG